AAGAAGAAGUCUAUGGAGGGACGAUCUUCAAAAGUUUACUAUACCAUCAACAUGAACCUAGACAUGUCUGAGAAAUCAAUGGAGAUAUUUUCUCUGGCCUGCAUUCUUCCCUUUAAGUACCCUGAAGUUCUGCCUGAAAUUACUGCCAGAUCAGUAUUAUUAAGUAGAACCCAGCAGACCCAGCUGAACACAGAUCUGACCGCAGAUCUUCCUGCAGGAGAAUUGUGGA
rnacentral:lncRNA from 1 species